AGGAAAGAAGCGAGUCCGGUGUAGAAAUUAGUCGUUUCUCCUCAGCACAGAUGCCCAAAAAGCAACCCUGUAAAUAUUCUUGAACUUCCGAAUUGAUUCUCUUAAGUAGGAGGAACUGAGAUUUUUGUCUUUUCCUCAAAGAUUGAAGGAGUGGAAGAAGUGACUGACCUCUGUCAACUAUUCUGUGAAAGUGCUAUACCUCAUUAUCAACCUAUUUCUACAUGUACAUAAUCCUGUUCUGAUCCCCUCGUCCAUCCAGUAACGAAUGCCGAGACAAGCUUAGCUGGAAUGCCACAACUCUUUAUUAGUAGGGAACAUAAAUCUU